rnacentral:rRNA from 1 species
UAGGGAAUCUUCCACAAUGGACGCAAGUCUGAUGGAGCAACGCCGCGUGAGUGAAGAAGGUUUUCGGAUCGUAAAGCUCUGUUGUUGGUGAAGAAGGAUAGAGGCAGUAACUGGUCUUUAUUUGACGGUAAUCAACCAGAAAGUCACGGCUAACUACGUGCCAGCAGCCGCGGUAAUACGUAGGUGGCAAGCGUUGUCCGGAUUUAUUGGGCGUAAAGCGAGCGCAGGCGGAAUGAUAAGUCUGAUGUGAAAGCCCACGGCUCAACCGUGGAACUGCAUCGGAAAAUGUCAUUCUUGAGUGCAGAAGAGGAGAGUGGAAUUCCAUGUGUAGCGGUGGAAUGCGUAGAUAUAUGGAAGAGCACCAGUGGCGAAGGCGGCUCUCUGGUCUGCAACUGACGCUGAGGCUCGAAAGCAUGGGUAGCGAACAGG